rnacentral:rRNA from 1 species
UACGGGGGGGGCAAGCGUUGUUCGGAAUUACUGGGCGUAAAGCGCGUGUAGGCUGCUUCGCAAGUCGGAUGUGAAAGCCCUGGGCUCAACCCAGGAAGUGCACUUCGAAACUGCAGAGCUGGAGUCCUGGGAGACGGGAAGGCGGAAUUCUCGGUGUAGAGGUGAAAUUCGUAGAUAUCGAGAGGAACACCGGUGGCGAAGGCGGCCUUCUGGAC